AUCCGAAACGGCGGCGGCCGGCGGACAAAAUAUGCUGAGCGCCGACGGACGGUGGCCGAGCGGAGGCAAACUACCUCAACGGCACACCGGCCCUUGUGGCAAAAAGCCAAGGAGACGUCAGCGGAUCAGCCAAGUCGACCUGGCAGAGAGCACGCAGAUUUAACUGCUUCAGUUAAAAUUCGUGGAUAAUAUUUAAAGUCUCCUAAACAUAAUGGUUUGUGCUUUGAUUGCUUAAUACUACGAUGAAGAUAUCGCAGAACAAAAUUAAAAAUCGACAGCAAAUCUGAUUCGUAUUUGUGAAUACUUUCGCUGUAAAAGUUUUUCAUGUACACAGUAAAUAAAGACAAACAUAAAGAA